GUAGGGUCCGAGCGUUAUCCGGGAAUCAUUGGGGCGUAAAGAGCUCGUAGGCGGUUCAGCAAGUCGGGCUGUGAAAGUUCGAGGGCUCAACCUCGAAAUUGCAGUCGAUACUGCUGUGACUUGAAUUCGGUAGAGGAGAAUGGAAUUCCCCGGUGUAGCGGUGAAAUGCGCAGAUAUCGGGAGGAACACCAGUAGCGAAGGCGGUUCUCUGGGCCGAUAUUGACGCUGAGGAGCGAAAGCGUGGGGAGCAAACAGGAUUAGAUACCCUGGUAGUCCACGCCGUAAACGUUGGAUGCUAGGUGUGGCGGUCUACCAACGACUGCCGUGCCGAAGCUAACGCAUUAAGCAUCCCGCCUGGGGAGUACGGCCGCAAGGCUA
rnacentral:rRNA from 1 species